UGACGGUAGUCGUAUGCUCGUCUCCGAGACUAAGCCAUGCAAGUCCAAGUACACGUCCUUGAACGACGGAAACUGCGAACGGCUCAUUAAAUCAGUUGCGAUCUACUCGGCGUUCCGCGCCGCCGGAUAACCGUAGUAAUUCUAGGGCUAAUACGUGCGAAGCGCCCGAAGCCGCGAGGCGACGGGCGUUCUCGCCGGAUGUAGGAACCGACCCGGGGACCGCCGGGGCAACCCGGCGCCCCCGAGACGGGGCGAACCACGGUGAAAUGACGGAUCGUCGGCCCCGCGCCGGCGACUCGCCGAAUGAGUUUCUGACCUAUCAACUCGAGACGGCGGGGUAGAGGCCCGCCGCGGUAACGACGGGUAACGGGGAAGUCAGGGUUCGAUUCCGGAGAGGGAGCCCGAGAAACGGCUACCACUUCCAAGGAAGGCAGCAGGCGCGCAACUUACCCUAAU
rnacentral:rRNA from 1 species